rnacentral:lncRNA from 1 species
GUUUUUAUUGUGCUACUCUAAUUUUUUCCUGGUGGGUACAUUGGAAAAAACCAGAACAAAAACCACUGCAUUUCCAAAUCAUUAUUUUCAGAGUUGCAUAUUGCUAGCAAUGAAACAGUCAGUGCUAACUCUGCCAGCAUGUUCUCGACAAUAAAUGCCAUUUGAAAUGAUUAUGUGAGCUAGAGAGGUUGGAAUAGUGCUUUGCUUCAGUUGCCUUUCUCCCUGAAUGCUGCUUUAUGCAUAUAGAUAAAAUAUGCUUAGGCUUUGGCUGAUAUGGCACUUUCUGUACAGGGUGAAGCAUGAUCUUCCAUCCCUUCCCAGGGUGUUAUAUGACAACAAGCAAGCUCAACAUUCAGGCAACUCCAGUGCCCUUGUACCAUUGAAAUGUUGAAGAUUCUUAGUCUGGAAUUUGGAUGACCACAAGGUGACAGAAAAUUGUGUUUCUAACCCAAGGGAGCUUGAGAGUGUGUGCCAGCCCCAUCCUGAUGGCAAGGAGCUGACAGAUCUGCCGUGAAGGUCUCACGGAGUUGAUGCAGCUGAAGAUCUGAGGGUAAGUCUGAUGCAGAUGCCA